AUUGAACGCUGGCGGCAGGCCUAACACAUGCAAGUCGAACGGUAACAGGAAGAAGCUUUCUUCUUUGCUGACGAGUGGCGGGGGGGUGAGAAAUGUCUGGGAAACUCCCUGUUUUCGGGGGGUAACUCCUGGAAACGGUAGCUCAUACCGCAUAACGUCGCAAGAGCUAAGAGGAGGACCUUCUGGCCCCUUGCCAUCUGGUGUGCCCAGAUGGGAUUAGCUAGUAGGCGGGGUAACGGCUCACCCAGGCGACGAUCCCUAGCUGGUCUGAGAGGAUGACCAGCCACACUGGAACUGAGACACGGUCCAGACUCCUACGGGAGGCAGCAGUGGGGAAUAUUGGACAAUGGGCGCAAGCCUGAUGCAGCCAUGCCGCGUGUAUGAAGAAGGCCUUCGGGUUGUAAAGUACUUUUGUCGGGGAAGAAGGGAGUAAAGUUAAUACCUCGGCGCAUUGACGUUACCCGAAGAAGAAGCACCGGCUAACUCCGUG
rnacentral:rRNA from 1 species